CCAAAGGUCAAAAAAUAAAGUGAGAGAGGAGGUUAUGGGUGGGCUUGAAGUUAGCUAGCCAGCUAAAUAGCUAACAAUAUUAUUUUCUUUCAGUGAGUUGUUGAAGUGAAAAGUAUGUACGUUGAAAUUAGCAGAGGAUGCUGUUUUGUUAAUGUCUUGGUGUAGACAUUGAAGCUCGUGUUGUGUCUCUGUGGCUGGUGGGAGGAAAGUUGUUUUCUCACCCUGAGGCUGUUCCUACUACCUGGCUGUUUGGAGCUGUAAACAUCCCCGACUGGAAGCUGUCCACCAACAGAGCUUUCAGUCAGGUGUUUGCUACUGCUGACUUGCCUUUAGCUCCAAGGAAACAGACACUACCGCUAUGCUGCUGGACCACUGCUGGACGUGUAAAUAUGGCAUCCCAAUGUCCUGGUAAUCACAUUGGAUCCUUGUGGCUUAAAAGAUGGAUCACAUAAGAACCUUCCGUGUCCACAUCUCUCACAUCACCCUGAAGUCUGCGCUUGAAAAUAUCAGGAAGGAUGAGAACUUAGAGUGAAAUCAGACUUUAGUUAAUGUAAACAUCCUACACUCAGCUGUGACCUAGCAGCAGAGGCUGGGAGAAGGCUGUUUACUUUAACUGGCUUGGACUCACACGCAAUGGCGAUGUAAGCACUGUGUUCUGUCAAUGCAAGGUCAUAUGCCACUAAACUAUCAGCGCCGUCAGCCACCACCAUCACAGCCUCGCCAACUAUCAACUGCAACAAUGACCCUGUUGACCUUGUCCCUUCUGCAUUCAUCAAUCAAAAGUGCUUUUAAGGCAACACUCCAUUUUUAUAUUGGAGCACCUUUUGUUAUGGUCUGAUCAACUGUUGGCUUUUUUAUUGCAAAAUGUUGUCAUUGCUUUAAAUAUUACAUAUUUACAAUAAACAAUAUAUUGCUGCAAAAA